CGGGUGUGUCCCAUGGGGAAUUCCGGCCUCGUUUUGAACAGUGUUGCAGACGCCGGUAUUUGAUUAUAUAGAAGGAUGGCGGCAGCAACUGAAUCUUCGUGUAAGUAAAAUAUUUAUUUAAAUGUGUUCCGGAUAUAAUUUUUUUGAAAAUGUUUUUAAACAAAUAUGUUUAAAUAGUUGAAGCGUACAUAUCUAAUCUUUUUCCGGCAAGGAUGUAUCAUGC
rnacentral:lncRNA from 1 species